AUUGAACGCUGGCGGCAUGCCUUACACAUGCAAGUCGAACGGUAACAGGUCUUCGGAUGCUGACGAGUGGCGAACGGGUGAGUAAUACAUCGGAACGUGCCCGAUCGUGGGGGAUAACGGAGCGAAAGCUUUGCUAAUACCGCAUACGAUCUACGGAUGAAAGCAGGGGACCGCAAGGCCUUGCGCGGACGGAGCGGCCGAUGGCAGAUUAGGUAGUUGGUGGGAUAAAAGCUUACCAAGCCGACGAUCUGUAGCUGGUCUGAGAGGACGACCAGCCACACUGGGACUGAGACACGGCCCAGACUCCUACGGGAGGCAGCAGUGGGGAAUUUUGGACAAUGGGCGAAAGCCUGAUCCAGCCAUGCCGCGUGCAGGAUGAAGGCCUUCGGGUUGUAAACUGCUUUUGUACGGAACGAAAAGACUCCUUCUAAUAAAGGGGGUCCAUGACGGUACCGUAAGAAUAAGCACCGGCUAACUACGUGCCAGCAGCCGCCGCGGUAA
rnacentral:rRNA from 1 species